GACAAGCACCCUCCCUCAUCAAGACAGACACCGUGGAAGACAUCCUGGAUACCUCCGUACAGCCAUAUCUCCUCCAAGUACUCUGCAGUGGAACUCAUGAGGGCUAUGUUUGAGGUGGGAAUCACCAAAGCAAUGAGGAUUCUGAAAAAAGUAUUCAGACAACACUGUUUAUAAAUGUAACCCAGCUCUCCUUUUAAGGCUCAUCUCCAUCUUGUUAUCUUUCCCCUAAGUCUGGGAGGAUAUCUUUCAGAGGGUUGCAAAUGAACAGAAAAUCUAUGAAGGUAAAAGAGGUUUUGUUUUUCUGUUAGAUAUGGUGAGUUGGUGUUUUAUAUACUGUAUGUGUCCAUUCUGUUUUCUCCCCAGCUUCAUGAGCUGACGCAGCUAACGGAAGAGAACAGAUACCUGACCACCAUCGCCAGGCAAAUCGGCCCCUACAUCCGAUCCACCGCCAAGGUGAAGGAACGCCUUGAACCCAGACUGAAAGAGGACAGCGGACAUGCUGAAGACCUGAGGACACCACUAUGGCCACAGAUACUAAACAAACAAUUUUAACAACACAGAUAAAUGACCUGACCUGUACCAGAUGAUAACCACACUCUCAGCAACCUCUCUGACAAGGCCACCCUCAAGAACAAGAAUCAACUGGCCAGGGAAGCAGAAAAACAGAGAUUUGGAAGAUGUCUCCCUAAGCAACUGGAUGGGGUCAUGAGACUUCAAUGUGCUCACCCAUAACUUAUGUAAAUUAUAUUGAAUAUAACAUGUAUGUGUUUCUAACAUUACCCAUAUUAGGACUACAGUAGCAAACCCAUGAAAGAAAACAAUGAAAGGAAGACAAUUUUCUUAGGAUAAAUUUGAUUUUAUUUCACAGGACAAAGUUGUUCAAUCAAUUCAGAACAUUUCAGUCAAGUGAAUAAAAGUAAUCAGCCAAGAGAGAGAUAAAUAUUCUCUCUGCAUGAUACAUUUACAUUACCUGUAAUAAACUGUAGUAUUAUUAUACUGUAGUGCAACAACUGGCUUUUUCCAUGUUCAGCUCAGCUGGAUCAUGCUUGGAGCAGUAAACAG
rnacentral:lncRNA from 1 species